GGGAGGAGGAGGAGGAGGAGGAGGCACGAAGGCGGGAGAGGCAGCCCAGCCUCCUGGUGCCUGCAGCCCUGGGCUGUGCCUCUGGAGUCCGGCGCCGCUGGUGAACUUUGCGGCAUACUGGAUCUCUUUGGACCCUUUUACUCAAGGAAGACAUCAGACUAAGUGGAAGCCCCCUGUAGCUGAUAUCCAGAACCUGAAAACUUUCUCUUGAGAAGAUCUUUGUAGGUUGUCACAGUGGUAUAUGGAGUACACUCUUCAAACACAUCUACAGAUAAAGACAAAAAUGAAACAAGAAAAAAACCAGAAGAUAAUAUCUUCAUCCUUCCCCUGCUGUCAAGUACUACAACAUUGAAAUCUGCUGACAGGCAGACGACUUUAAAAGACUAAACUAUAUACAGAUAUUUGUACGUGAUGAUUUUCAAGGCUGAAAAACACUCCAGGUUUUAUGUAACCAGAUUUGACAAUUGAAGUUGUAC
rnacentral:lncRNA from 1 species